GAUGUAGAACGUAGCGAAAUGCGAUAAGUAAUGUGAAUUGCAGAAUUCAGUGAAUCAUCGAAUCUUUGAACGCACCUUGCGCCCUUUGGCCAUUCCGAAGGGCAUGCCUGUUUGAGUAUCAUGAACACCUCAACUCUUUAUGGUUUUCCAUGAUGAGCUUGGACUCUGGGGGUUUUGCUGGCUCACAGUCGGCUCCUCUAAAAUGAAUCAGCUUACCAGUGUUUGGUGGGUAUCAUGGGUGUGAUAACUAUCUACGCUUGUGGUUUUUCCACCAGGUAACCUUCAGCAGUGGAGGUUCGCUGGAGCUCAUAGAUGUCUCUCCUCAGUGAGGACAGCCCUUUGAAUGUUUGAUCUCAAAUCAGGUAGGACUACCCGCUGAACUUAAGCAUAUCAAUAAGCGGAGGA
rnacentral:misc_RNA from 1 species